rnacentral:rRNA from 1 species
CCCUUAGAUGUUCUGGGCCGCACGCGCGCUACACUGAACAGUUCAACAAGUCUUAACCUUGGCCGAUAGGUCUGGGUAAUCUUUGAACGCUGUUCGUGAUUGGGAUAGACCUUUGCAAUUAUGGGUCUUCAACGAGGAAUUCCCAGUAAACGCAAGUCAUCAGCUUGCAUUGAUUACGUCCCUGCCCUUUGUACACACCGCCCGUCGCACCUACCGAUUGAAUGGUCCGGUGAAAUCUCGGGACGGCGGCUUGGUCGCUUGCGUCCGACUGCUGAAACUUGAUUAAACCAUAUCAUUUAGAGGAAGGUGAAGUCGUAACA